UACGUAGGUUGCAAGCGUUGUCCGGAUUUACUGGGUGUAAAGGGCGUGUAGGCGGAGAUGCAAGUUGGGAGUGAAAUACCGGGGCUCAACCCCGGAACUGCUUUCAAAACUGUAUCCCUUGAGUGUCGGAGAGGCAAGCGGAAUUCCUAGUGUAGCGGUGAAAUGCGUAGAUAUUAGGAGGAACACCAGUGGCGAAGGCGGCUUGCUGGACGAUAACUGACGCUGAGGCGCGAAAGCGUGGGGAGCAAACAGG
rnacentral:rRNA from 1 species